rnacentral:misc_RNA from 1 species
UUUGUGAGUUUUUGUAUUGCAGGGAGACAUUUAGGACAGCACAUUGAGGGACGGCAUUGUGGGACAGUGGAUUUUGCCAGUUGGCGUGUUCGAGGGCGUACAUCUUUCGGGAGCAUCGGGUCGUUUCAUCUUGGAUGGUAAGUUUUUGUUUUGGUUUCUUCUUCUUAUUAGUCUUCCAUUUGUCAGUAAUUUUGUCUUAAUCUAAUCAGGUACAUUUGCAGGUGGUUCCAGUGGGAGUCGUCAUUUAUGGUUAUCACAGUUGGUUGGUUAGUCGGCCGUCAGCGUCGUUAAUAAGGGAUUUUUAGAUUAAUUGCAUGGAAAAUUAUGUAAGUAUUGGAAACAUGUGAGACAAUAAGGGUUUUAAGACAAGAUUGAAAACAGUAAUUAAGGACGACACUAAGCAGGCAGGCUGCGUAGAUGUUCCUGGAGCAGGUGCCAUCCUUUGGAAGUGCUAUCGCUUCUCUGGCAUCGAAUCCCUUCAGGGGGGUAUUUGGAGCAUAAUUAAUUUAAAUUUUCCAUUAUCAUUUCAGUUCCUUGGUGGCGUCGGCGUGGGAAUAGGAAUUUCCAGGUAGAUACAAGCGUAUCAGGAGCAAGGUCGUCGUUGGACAGGAGCUUUGAUGGGGGAGAUAUCAUAAGAUGAGUUCCAAUAGCAUUUUUGGUGUAGAACCCCCUGUGAGAUUUUUGUUUGUUCUUUCUCGUUUCAGGUUGCCUUCCCCCUGUUGUGAUGCAGCGUUGGAGCACGCAAUCACACACACACACCCCACCCCCUCUAGUGGAAUGCAGCGUAGAGAUAUUUGGAGCAUGUUAAUCACAGCUUUCUUUUGUCAUUUCGGGUCUUCGGUGUUUGUGACGUGGGAUGGCAUCUUCCCGGUGGGUUCUUUCAUGUGUUUUGUUUAUCCAUUGUUCUAUAUUAAAUUAUAUUUAGCCUUUAUAGAUUUUGCGCCUUCGUGGAGAGGUUCGUCAGGUAGUAGGUACAAGGUGAGAAUAGGAGAGGCGCUUCCAGCAAGGAUUAAUUUAAAGCAAUGAAACAGGGUCAAAAGACAGUUGGGAUGAGAAAAUUAGAUAAGUUCCAUGGCAUAAUGAUAUAGAGCCCAUUGUAAGGUAUUUGUUUCCUCUAUUCUUAUUUCAGGUUGCCGAUGCUGCGGAAGAAGGAGACAUCGUCAAGGAGGUUUAUAUGUUUCAAUGCCGGUUAUGCUUGUUGCUGUCCCCUGUUGGUCAAGGAUAUCACAGUUGGGUAUCACAGGGUUGACUGUCUCCUUAUUAGGACUCUUCGAUGUGGGAAGCCCAGUAACAAUAGUUUUCAACUCCUCCAACCGAAAGAAGUAGCGCGCAUUGUCAGUACGUCCAGGUUGCAGUCGUCAAAGUUAUUGGAGAAGCGGUCUUCAAGGUGUGCGGCAAAAACCUCAGCUUUCUCCUGUGCCGUCUUCGUCCAAGAGGUGCCGGUCGUCCUUCUGCUGGUGGUCGUCAUGGGAGCGCCUGUUGAGGUCUUAAGGGGAUAAUUUGAGGGAGGCUGACGCUUGAGUUUCCUUGUUAUCCUCCAGAUUCUCGUCAUUAUGUAUCGGUCGUCAGGGUUCAGACGAGCAAGUUGCCCACCAACGCAGUUUUCUCUUGCUCUUUUGAUAGCCUUUGUCAGUUUGUUUUUGAGCCUGGAGGCUUUUCUUUUGUUGUCGUCAGUCUUAUUUCUCUUCAAUUUCUUUUUGCAGGACUCAUAUUGCGCUAUGAGGAUUUUAGUGCGGAGAUCAAGUUUGAGUUUUGGCUUGGAAUUGUGUCCCUUAUUAUUAUGUGCACCGGUGGAGGGAGUGGCAUGCUUUCCAAGUGCUUCACCAAUUUUACGGCUCCUUUCAAGUGUAACUUGGAACUCCCUGAUUCCCUGGUUGCUACGGGGAGGAUAGAGGGGCCAACUCGGACUGGAGGAGGGAAUUGCUGCUGGAGGACUCAGCGGAGUACGCCCACUUGCUACCUCAAUCAGAAGGAGAAGGUGAUCCGAGGAAAGCGCGUCCAGUGAGGAGAUUCUAAUGUUUUUUUUUUUAAUUUGU